rnacentral:rRNA from 1 species
CCCUCCGGACGGGUAUAAACCUGGGAAACUGGGUAUAAUCCCCGAUAGAUCUCGGUCGCUGGAAUGCCCCGAGAUCGAAAGCUCCGGCGCCAGAGGAUGGGUCUGCGGCCUAUCAGGUAGUAGUGGGUGUAGCGUACCUACUAGCCUACGACGGGUACGGGUUGUGAGAGCAAGAGCCCGGAGAUGGAUUCUGAGACACGAAUCCAGGCCUUACGGGGUGCAGCAGGCGCGAAAACUUUACAAUGCCGGCAACGGCGAUAAGGGGACCUCGAGUGCCAGGUUACAAAUCUGGCUGUCGUGAUGCCUAAAAAGCAUUGCAUAGCAAGGGCCGGGCAAGACCGGUGCCAGCCGCCGCGGUAACACCGGCGGCUCGAGUGGUAACCGUUAUAAUGGGGUCUAAAGGGUCUGUAGCCGGCCGGAUAAGUCUCUUGAGACAUCCAGCAGCUCAACUGUUGGGCUUUCAGGAGAUACUGUUCGGCUAGGGGACGAGAG